UUAAAUUGAAGAGUUUGAUCAUGGCUCAGAUUGAACGCUGGCGGCAGGCCUAACACAUGCAAGUCGAACGGUAACAGGAAGCAGCUUGCUGCUUUGCUGACGAGUGGCGGACGGGUGAGUAAUGUCUGGGAAACUGCCUGAUGGAGGGGGAUAACUACUGGAAACGGUGGCUAAUACCGCAUAACGUCGCAAGACCAAAGAGGGGGACCUUCGGGCCUCUUGCCAUCAGAUGUGCCCAGAUGGGAUUAGCUUGUUGGUGAGGUAACGGCUCACCAAGGCGACGAUCCCUAGCUGGUCUGAGAGGAUGACCAGCCACACUGGAACUGAGACACGGUCCAGACUCCUACGGGAGGCAGCAGUGGGGAAUAUUGCACAAUGGGCGCAAGCCUGAUGCAGCCAUGCCGCGUGUAUGAAGAAGGCCUUCGGGUUGUAAAGUACUUUCAGCGGGGAGGAAGGUGUUGUGGUUAAUAACCACAGCAAUUGACGUUACCCGCAGAAGAAGCACCGGCUAACUCCGUGCCAGCAGCCGCGGUAAUACGGAGGGUGCAAGCGUUAAUCGGAAUUACUGGGCGUAAAGCGCACGCAGGCGGUCUGUCAAGUCGGAUGUGAAAUCCCCGGGCUCAACCUGGGAACUGCAUUCGAAACUGGCAGGCUUGAGUCUUGUAGAGGGGGGUAGAAUUCCAGGUGUAGCGGUGAAAUGCGUAGAGAUCUGGAGGAAUACCGGUGGCGAAGGCGGCCCCCUGGACAAAGACUGACGCUCAGGUGCGAAAGCGUGGGGAGCAAACAGGAUUAGAUACCCUGGUAGUCCACGCCGUAAACGAUGUCUACUUGGAGGUUGUGCCCUUGAGGCGUGGCUUCCGGAGCUAACGCGUUAAGUAGACCGCCUGGGGAGUACGGCCGCAAGGUUAAAACUCAAAUGAAUUGACGGGGGCCCGCACAAGCGGUGGAGCAUGUGGUUUAAUUCGAUGCAACGCGAAGAACCUUACCUGGUCUUGACAUCCACAGAACUUUCCAGAGAUGGAUUGGUGCCUUCGGGAACUGUGAGACAGGUGCUGCAUGGCUGUCGUCAGCUCGUGUUGUGAAAUGUUGGGUUAAGUCCCGCAACGAGCGCAACCCUUAUCCUUUGUUGCCAGCGGUCCGGCCGGGAACUCAAAGGAGACUGCCAGUGAUAAACUGGAGGAAGGUGGGGAUGACGUCAAGUCAUCAUGGCCCUUACGACCAGGGCUACACACGUGCUACAAUGGCGCAUACAAAGAGAAGCGACCUCGCGAGAGCAAGCGGACCUCAUAAAGUGCGUCGUAGUCCGGAUUGGAGUCUGCAACUCGACUCCAUGAAGUCGGAAUCGCUAGUAAUCGUGGAUCAGAAUGCCACGGUGAAUACGUUCCCGGGCCUUGUACACACCGCCCGUCACACCAUGGGAGUGGGUUGCAAAAGAAGUAGGUAGCUUAACCUUCGGGAGGGCGCUUACCACUUUGUGAUUCAUGACUGGGGUGAAGUCGUAACAAGGUAACCGUAGGGGAACCUGCGGUUGGAUCACCUCCUUACCUUAAAGAAGC
rnacentral:rRNA from 2 species